AGUUCUUCCCCAGGCUGUGGAGUCUGCACACUGGAUUCAUGACCUCCCCCAAGUUCUGGCCAGGAAGCUUCUUGCCCAAUUCAAAUUGUUGCAAAGUUCAGCUGGAGAUUUCCUUCUUCCUGUGGCAUUUUCCUGUUGCUCCUCUGGCCACCCUCCCAAUGGAUCCGUGUGGUCCCUGGCAGGAAUGUCUUGCUUGGGGACCGAGUGAGCUCUUAGAGCCUUUCUGCUGCUUCCUCUACCCCUGUAUUUUACUCAGCUCUCUAAAUUGACUCAGUGCCAGGUCUGCUGCAGUUUGCUGGAGGUCCACUCCAGACUCUAUGUACCUGGAUAUCACCAGCGGAAGCUGCAGAAUAGCAAAGAUUGCUUCCUGGUCCUUCCUCUGGAAGCUUCAUCCCAGAGGGGCACUGGCCUGAUGUCAGCUGGAGCUCUCCUGUAUGAGAUUUUCUGUAAAUGCUGCCCACCCCCACUGCCUCUGCCUGAUGACGUCCUCUGGGUGCUUGUGUGAGAAUCAUGCAGUGACCACAUCAUCACCCACAGCUGAUGACUCAGAGUGGACCACCUAUUCAGCCCAGAGCAGGAACCCAAGCCUAUGAAGUGAAUUGUAGGAUGUGGUAUCAGCCAGUAGAGGUACUGGAG
ensembl:lncRNA novel transcript, antisense to GZMB